rnacentral:tRNA from 1 species
GCGGCUCUAAGCCCAACUGGCAGAGGCGUCAGGUCGAGAAUCUGACUAGUCCGAGUUCGAAUCUCGGGAGCCGCACCA